AAUGAACGCUGGCGGCAUGCCUUACACAUGCAAGUCGAACGGUAACGGGCCUUCGUGUCCCCACGGACGGAGACGGGGUGAGUAAUGCAUCCGAACGUGCCCCAUCCUGUUGGAAAACGAGGCACAAGCUUUACUCAUAGCUCAUACGAUCUACGGUUUAAAGCAGGGGGGUGCAAUAGUUUGAGCUGGCUGUGCUGUCACUUGCAGAUUAGGUAGCUGGUGGGUUAAAAGCUUACCAAGCCGACGAUUUGUAGCUGAUCUGAGAGGAGGAUAAGCCACACUGGGACUGAGACACGGCCCAGACUCCUACGGGAGGCAGCAGUGGGGAAUUUUCGACAAUGGGCGCAAGCCUGAUCCAGCCAUGCCGCGUGAAGGAUGAAGGCCUUCGGGUUGUAAACUGCUGUUGUACGGAACGAAAAGCCUUCUUUUAAUACAGGAGGGUCAUGACGGUACCGUAAGAAUAAGCCACGGCUAACUACGUG
rnacentral:rRNA from 1 species